rnacentral:rRNA from 1 species
AGUGAACGCUGGCGGUAGGCCUAACACAUGCAAGUCGAACGGCAGCACAGUAAGAGCUUGCUCUUACGGGUGGCGAGUGGCGGACGUGUGAGGAAUACAUCGGAAUCUACUUUUUCGUGGGGGAUAACGUAGGGAAACUUACGCUAAUACCGCAUACGACCUACGGGUGAAAGCAGGGGAUCUUCGGACCUUGCGCGAUUGAAUGAGCCGAUGUCGGAUUAGCUAGUUGGCGGGGUAAAGGCCCACCAAGGCGACGAUCCGUAGCUGGUCUGAGAGGAUGAUCAGCCACACUGGAACUGAGACACGGUCCAGAGUCCUAAGGGAGGCAGCAGUGGGGAAUAUUGGACAAUGGGCGCAAGCCUGAUACAGCCAUACCGCGUGGGUGAAGAAGGCCUUCGGGUUGUAAAGCCCUUUUGUUGGGAAAGAAAAGCAGCAGGUUAAUACCCAGCUGUUCUGACGGUAACCAAAGAAUAAGCACCGGCUAACUUCGUG